ACUCCUACGGGAGGCAGCAGUGGGGAAUUUUGGACAGUGGGCGAAAGCCUGAUCCAGCAAUGCCGCGUGAGUGAAGAAGGCCUUCGGGUUGUAAAGCUCUUUUGUCAGGGAAGAAACGGUGAAAGCUAAUAUCUUUUGCUAAUGACGGUACCUGAAGAAUAAGCACCGGCUAACUACGUGCCAGCAGCCGCGGUAAUACGUAGGGUGCAAGCGUUAAUCGGAAUUACUGGGCGUAAAGCGUGCGCAGGCGGUUUUGUAAGUCUGAUGUGAAAUCCCCGGGCUCAACCUGGGAAUUGCAUUGGAGACUGCAAGGCUAGAAUCUGGCAGAGGGGGGUAGAAUUCCACGUGUAGCAGUGAAAUGCGUAGAUAUGUGGAGGAACACCGAUGGCGAAGGCAGCCCCCUGGGUCAAGAUUGACGCUCAUGCACGAAAGCGUGGGGAGCAAACAGGAUUAGAUACCCGAGUAGUCCC
rnacentral:rRNA from 1 species